CUGCCAAUCCUCCUCUUUUAGCUGAGGAAGAUUGGCCCUGAGCUAACAUCUGUGCCCAUCUUCCUCUACUUUAUAUGUGGGACACCUACCACAGCAUGGCGUGCCAAGCAGUACCAUUUCUGCCGCCGUGAUCCGGACUGGCGAACCCCGGGCCACUGAAGCGGAACGUGCACACUUAACUGUCGCGCCACCGGGCCAGCCCCUGGGUUUUCACUUCUGAGAGGUUGACGCAGGUGCUUUCGCAGUUCACAGGCCUCUUCACUUAGCUGCUGAUUCAUCUCACUGAAAUGGGGCAGCAGCCAGGCCUGCCACUGAUCCAUCUUCCCCUGGAUCCUGCCUCAGCUCCUUUCACUUCUAUACCAGGACCCUUGCCAUUCUGUGUUUUCUGUAGCUACCCAUAUCACUAGAACUAAUUAUUAUCAAGGAUCAGAGAAGGAGAAAGACCCGGAUAAAGGAAAGUAAAGAAAGUUUCCUCUCAGGGGCCAGCCUGGUGGCACAGAGGAAUCUGCUAAUGUUGCUAUUCUAAGCACACUAUUUGUAGGUAUUUGUUUACAUGUCUGCUUCCUCCUCUGGAAGGUGAGCUCCCCCAGCAUGGAGAGUGGGCUUUAUUUAUCCUGUGUCCCCAGUGCCCAGCACUUAUAUCAUUGGCAAUGUUGGUUGGUUGGAUUUGUAACAUCAUCAGUAGAAUGAUCACUCACAAGAAAAGAGAUUCAGAGGAAGCACAUCAUGAUCCCUUUGAAGAAUCACUACAUUCCAGAAUAAUCCCAUCCAGUGUUCUGAGGAGUCCGUCUCACCCCUCUGGGUGUCUUAUAAAAAUUAAAUUAGGAAAAAAAAGAAAAUGUACACAAUGUUGAGACCUGCUUUGAAUCCUAAAUUGAACAUAAAGUUGCGUAUAUGUAAGUUCUUGCCCCCAUCAUAGUGUUUCUUAAAGUAUGAAUGAAUAAACAGACAAAAUUUCAAAAGCAAGAAAAAAGAUCAAGUUAUGUUAAGUGAAAAAAUUGGACUAUUAAAACUAUGGUCAUUAUGGUAGAACUGGUUUUAUGUUUAUAGUAAUUAAAAUUCAUACAAGAAAGGAGUGAGAGGAAAUAUGUCAACAUAUUAGCAGUGGUAAACCCUGGACGACAGGAUUGCAGGUGAUUCUUAUAUGGAAAGUUUGUGAUUUACUGCCAGGGGAUCUUUUAGGGGUAUCCUGAACCACUUCCAUAUUGGUAUCCAUGUGAAAUUGUGCAAUUAUUCUCUCUCUCAUGGGCUCCGAACUCAAUUUUAUUCACAUCUAGGAAAGGGAAACUUUUAGGAGGAAACAAUCCCUUGGUCUCCUUCCCCUACCUCUCUCAUUCCGACUUAUCAAUUGACAUAAAUGCUAAUCACCGAUUUUCUCUGAGGCCUUAGGCAAAUCUCACAUUGGCAUUUACAGAUUCAUUAUUUGAAUAAUUAAAUGUUAAUUAUAAUUCUUAGUUUAUUCAAUAUAGCAUAGGACACUUUGACUUAUUUUCCUUAAUUGACCCCAUAAUUUUGAUUUAUGUUCUUCAUCCAAAGUUUACUGCCUGAUAAAUGUUUAAUAAUUAUGCCAUUUAGAGAUAUUGAUGCUUAAAAAAUUGCAACCAUUUAUAUCAGGAAAUGAAAAUGCAGUCUAACCAAUUUUCUAUGUGCCGAUGAAAAGUGAAACACUUGAUCCUUUACCUAGGCAUCUCCAAGAGUCCCUAUGCUUGAGCUAUAUAGAGAUAACAUUACAGAUUCAGUGUAAGGAAUAUAUUCUGAUAAAUUUCAAUUUAUUUAUAACCCAUCCAUUUGUUCAACAAAUAUUUGUUGAGGACCUACUGUGUGUCAGGCAAUGUUCUAGGCCUACAGAUAUAGCAAUGAUCAAAAGAGACAAAUCUAUCACCUCAUGGAGUGAACAUUUAGGGGGAGAAUGGGAAAUAAAUAAAUAAUUAUAUAUAAUAUAUCUGGAGGACAUAAGUGGGGAAAGGUGAUAUAAAGUAUUGACAUUGAAAUUUUAACUAAAUUAUUGAACGGAAAAAUCAACAGACGUUGACUUUUUAUUGAGGUUUAACGUAAAAAUAAUAAAAUGUAUAGUUCUUAAGUUUUUGACAGUUCUGAAGUUUGACAACUGUAUAUGCUCAUGCUACAAGUCC
rnacentral:lncRNA from 1 species